GAAGCCGAGAGUCAAUGUAUAGUGUGAGGCUUUCGUAUAGAUGUCGCCCGGGGUCCUGCGAUCGCACAGACGGAUUACCAACCAAACUAGAGCAGUGGAGAAGUCUUCCAAAGUCUCUAUGUAAUCACGGCGCCUAUUAGUGCGGUUCAUUUCUGGCGAAAACAAUAUAUUAGUGUUGUUCAGACAAAGGACUUUAUCUUUUCAGAGGGAAUCACAGAAAUUUCAAUUAGCUUACCCGAGCUGUAUUAAUUAAAAAUCGUUGCGAAAUACCAACUUUAA